rnacentral:rRNA from 1 species
GGGUACUCGAGUGGCGAACGGGUGAGUAACACGUGGGUGAUCUGCCCUGCACUUUGGGAUAAGCCUGGGAAACUGGGUCUAAUACCGAAUACACCUCGCUGGCCGCAUGGUCUGUGGGGGAAAGCUUUUGCGGUGUGGGAUGGGCCCGCGGCCUAUCAGCUUGUUGGUGGGGUGAUGGCCUACCAAGGCGACGACGGGUAGCCGGCCUGAGAGGGUGACCGGCCACACUGGGACUGAGAUACGGCCCAGACUCCUACGGGAGGCAGCAGUGGGGAAUAUUGCACAAUGGGCGCAAGCCUGAUGCAGCGACGCCGCGUGGGGGAUGACGGCCUUCGGGUUGUAAACCCCUUUCAGCACAGACGAAGCGCGAGUGACGGUAUGUGCAGAAGAAGGACCGGCCAACUACGUGCCAGCAGCCGCGGUAAUACGUAGGGUCCGAGCGUUGUCCGGAAUUACUGGGCGUAAAGAGCUCGUAGGUGGUUUGUCGCGUUGUUCGUGAAAACUCACAGCUCAACUGUGGGCGUGCGGGCGAUACGGGCAGACUAGAGUACUGCAGGGGAGACUGGAAUUCCUGGUGUAGCGGUGGAAUGCGCAGAUAUCAGGAGGAACACCGGUGGCGAAGGCGGGUCUCUGGGCAGUAACUGACGCUGAGGAGCGAAAGCGUGGGGAGCGAACAGGAUUAGAUACCCUGGUAGUCCACGCCGUAAACGGUGGGUACUAGGUGUGGGUUUCCUUCCUUGGGAUCCGUGCCGUAGCUAACGCAUUAAGUACCCCGCCUGGGGAGUACGGCCGCAAGGCUAAAACUCAAAGAAAUUGACGGGGGCCCGCACAAGCGGCGGAGCAUGUGGAUUAAUUCGAUGCAACGCGAAGAACCUUACCUGGGUUUGACAUGCACAGGACGCUGGUAGAGAUAUCAGUUCCCUUGUGGCCUGUGUGCAGGUGGUGCAUGGCUGUCGUCAGCUCGUGUCGUGAGAUGUUGGGUUAAGUCCCGCAACGAGCGCAACCCCUGUCUUAUGUUGCCAGCGCGUCAUGGCGGGGACUCGUAAGAGACUGCCGGGGUCAACUCGGAGGAAGGUGGGGAUGACGUCAAGUCAUCAUGCCCCUUAUGUCCAGGGCUUCACACAUGCUACAAUGGCCGGUACAAAGGGCUGCGAAGCCGUGAGGUGGAGCGAAUCCCUUGAAAGCCGGUCUCAGUUCGGAUUGGGGUCUGCAACUCGACCCCAUGAAGUCGGAGUCGCUAGUAAUCGCAGAUCAGCAACGCUGCGGUGAAUACGUUCCCGGGCCUUGUACACACCGCCCGUCACGUCAUGAAAGUCGGUAACACCCGAAGCCGGUGG